rnacentral:lncRNA from 1 species
CCAAAUUUGCUUAAUCAUUCAUAAAAGAUUGACUUGACUAACUUUUUUGUAAAAAGGUAUGUAAAUUAAAUUCGUGUCUAAAUGGAGACAAUUUAGGCACGAAGUCCAAGAAGAAGAAGAUGAAGCAUAAAGAAUUGCCUCUCCCAUCGGUAUUUCUCCAUAGUUAGCUUCUAAUUGUGAGUGAAGCUUUCUUGUAAGGCUAGAUCUCUCAGGUGGGAAUUUUGUCCGGCGACGUGGUUGUCUUCCGGCGAGUUUACUUUCUGAGAUAACUUCAUUCUCUCUCUCGUUUUCGAGCCUUUCUUGUUGCAUACUGAUUUAUUCGGCCGAUUUUCCUGGCAUGAGACCACCUCCAGCACCACCACCGGAGUCUCUGUCUUUACCAACUCCCCCAGAUCCACCGGAUCCUCAGGACCGCUCCUCUUCCGACGAUUCUCAUGCUCAGCCGCUGAUCCUACUACACACCACCAGUCCUAAUCGAGUUCGCAGCUCUGACGUCCCCUCACCGCCGCUCCUCUUCUUUGUCGGAACUUUACUCCGCUGUCCACUGCCGUGUGUAGUCCGUGUCGUUUAAAACGCCACCGCCACAUGGUCAUCAUUCCACACUCUCCAAAGGUGAACCCAUGGUUUUCAAUUCACUGUUUGGACCAAAAAAAUGGGAUUAGCUUAUUGGGCCAAGUUUGGAUGGGCUUGUUGUUAGACCAAAAGAAGAAGGUUUUUAUUGGGCCUUAGUACCCUAAAAUUCAUCCUCCUCUUUUUUCUCAAACGAUCCCUUCAUCGCUUCAUAGCUCUUAACUUGCUUCACCACCAACCAUCACACUUCAUCAAGCCACGACACCUUCUCGGCCUCGUUGUCAGAAGAGUUGUUUGCUUGGCAUUCACAAUCAACGUAUCCCCUCUCCUUUUCCUCCAGGUAUAGUCCUCUUUUUCGCUUUCUGCUUCUUUUGAUAUGGGAAGUUAUGAGAUGAUCGUUAAGAGGGCUCUAGCUUUGUGGAAUUCAGAUCUAAUUCUUUUUCCUGUAGUGGCCUUGGAUACUCUUGGAUCCACAUUUGUGCUGUCUUGUAGCACUCUUAUCGCCUUAGUGCGACCCUUUCCUGCAAUAUGCAGAUUCCAUCUCGAAUUGGCUUUGUUAGAAGCCGUCUUGUGGCAGCUUGAAAAGAAAUCUUUUCUCUCUUCCAUCGUUCAAGAUAUUCUGGUUCACUAGGGCUUUUAUAGUUCUCAUCUGGUCUUUUAUAGUUCUCUUCUCUCUUUUAAAGAGCUUAUAAUCCUCUCGAAUACUUCACUUGUGUCUAGUGGUAUUGUUAUAGGGAGCAUUGUCGUCAAGAUUGUUCUGCUUGGAGCAUAAGCGAGGAUUGUUGUUCAAGACCGUUCUCGUUCAGCUUUUGUUGACUAUUUGACUUUGGAGACUUUGUUUCCUCUUGGUGAUUCACCUUCACCCCUAUUUUUAAGUCUCCUUUGGAGCUUUGUUGUUGUUUUUGACUUGCCUCCUUACAUGAUCUCCUUGUUGGUCGUUGUUUUAGUUGAUUUGGCUCUUUGUAGCUUUGAUGUAUCCUCCGUUGGUGGAGGCUAAACUUAUCUCCUUUUGAAUGAAAUCCUUAGUUUGUCCAAAAAAAAAUUGGAGACAAUGCAAUUAACAAUUGGG